CGUGAUUGUGUACACGUGCACCUACACCUAUCAAUAAGCGGCAGAAAUGUUGCGUCACUGUUUCGUCACUCAGGCCGGGAAAUUGAGGAAACGAGGGAAAACAAGAGAAACACAGAAUGUAAACAACAAAUAGCUGCAGCUGCGAUGGAGGGCUCCCAGUUGGUUCUCACCCACAGACUCCAGUUCAGAUUGACUGGGCCAUGCCUGCUCAGACAGGCAACAAUGACCGUUAAUGGGUGCGCACGUGUGUAGAAAUAAAUUUCCGCGGCCCACUGGGGAUGGACGACACACUUCGACCUCCUUGCUGGCCAACCAUGGAAGACUUCCCCUUGACCCCUCCCGACUGAGUCACAACCUCCGAGCCCUCAUCAAAAAGGAGGCCAAGAGGUUAAACUCAGCAAACCAGCAGGUCAACAACCUCUUUAUCCGACCGACCCCCCCUUAAAUGUUUCUGACAUUUAACAUUUCCAAAAACUCAGAUUUCAGUUUUUACUGACACCAAACUAUCA